AGAGCGGCACACUGAACUGGGAGGACCUUGUCUCCGACGGGAGGUGGGAGUACCGUCCCUUGAGAAAUGAAAGCUCCUCUCCGCCCCUGGGGGGGUGAUUUAAAUCCUGUCAGCUAGCCAACGAGUCGCCGUAUAAAGUUGGAGACGUUACCGCCACCACCAUUAAACUACAGCCGGCUCUAACUCUGUGAAAAGAUCCACAGAGAGCUGCGCGAAGCAAAAGCUCCUGCCAAGAAACGCUCUCACAUCCAUGAAUGAUGAAAACAGUCUUGUCAGAGUUCCCAUCGUGGCUCAGCGGGUUAAGAACCCGACUAUGCUUCGUGAGGAUGCGGGUUCCACCCCGGGCCUCGAUCAGGGGGUUAAGAAUCGCGCGUUGCCGCAAGCCCCCGGGGCCGCACCCAGGCUAGGGGUCUAAUCAGAGCUGUAGCUGCCGCCUACGACAGAGCCACAAAAACUCAGGAUCCAAGCAUCGCCUGCGACCUACACCACAGCUCACGACAACACUGGAUCCCUAACCCACUGAGUGAGGCCAGGGAUCGAACCUGCAACCUCAUGGUUCCCAGUUGGACUCAUUUCCACGGUGCCAUGUCGGGAACGCCUCGUGUCUCUUUUUCAAAGGCAGCAGUUUAUAUCCCGAUGUUUCUUUUGGGUUUCCAGAACACAGAAAAUGUUGUGAACGUUCUCACUAUAUAUUCUGCUCCCUGUAUGUGCCUUUCAUCACCUGGAGGAACUUAGCCACCGUUUCUUGAUCUCCGUUGUCAAUUUCUUCCUCUCAGACAACCCCUAGGAAUAUUUCCUCUACUCCUUUCUCUCUGGAAUAAUUCCAUUCACACCAACGACUUUAGCAUUGUUAGAUAAUGUUUAAUGAGCACUUUACAGGUGCUAGGCUUUGGGAGUUCCCUGCUGGCUUAGUGGGUUACGGAUCCAGAGUCAUCACUGCUGCAGCUUGGGUCACUAACGUGGCGCAGUUUCAAUCCCUGGCCCAGGAACUUCCACAUGCCAUGGGUACAGCCAAAAAAAAAAGUGCUAGACUUUGGGCUACACACUCUAUGUGUUUGUUUUCUAUGUGACCCAUUUCUAUCACUAAAAAUAGUAACAUGUCAUUCUGUAUCAGGCACUAUUCUAAGAAAUUUACCGAUGUUAAUUUGCUUAUCAAUACUUAUUUAAGGAGAACUCUCAGAGAAGUUCCCUCCAUCAGAAUAACACUAUUACCAAUAUCCAAUUAAGGAGUACUAAAUAUUAUUCUCAAUCCUACUUUUUUUUUUUUUUUUCAUUUUGUCCAUGCCCAUAGCACAUGGAGGUUCCCAGGCCAGGGAUCAGCCCUGUGAUCUUUUUCUUUCUUUUUUCUUUUUAGGGCUGCACUUGCUGCAUAUGGAAGUUCCAGGAUAGGGGUCGAACGGAAGCUGCAACUGCCGGCUGGUGCCACAGGCACAGCAACACAGGAUCCGAGACUCAUCUGUCCUGUAGACUCAGUGCUCAGUUAUUACCUCCUCAGAGCAGCAGUGCCACUCAAGCCAUUCCCUUAUCAUGUCACCCUGCUCUAUCCAGAUGCCUGGGUUGAAAUUCAGCAAUUGGAGGUCCCAUGGUGGCUCAGCGGAAAGGAAGCUCUAAAAAAAGUAAUUCUGUAAACAACUGAAUAAACACCACUCAGACCAAGGAAAAGAA
rnacentral:lncRNA from 1 species